rnacentral:tRNA from 1 species
GUAAAUAUAGUUUAAUCAAAACAUUAGAUUGUGAAUCUAACAACAGAAGGCCCAAUCUUCUUAUUUACC